GACGAACGCUGGCGGCGUGCCUAAUACAUGCAAGUCGAACGCAGUGGGGACGGGUGAGUAACACGUGGGUAACCUCCCAUCAGAGGGGAUAACACUUGGAAACAGGUGCUAAACCGAUACUGAUGGAUGAACCCGCGGUGCAUUAGCUAGUUGGUGGGGUAACGGCUCACCAAGGCCACGAUGCAUAGCUGACCUGAGAGGGUGAUCGGCCACACUGGGACUGAGACACGGCCCAGACUCCUACGGGAGGCAGCAGUGGGGAAUUUUGGACAAUGGGCGAAAGUCUGACCCAGCAACGCCGCGUGUGUGAAGAAGGUUUUCGGGUCGUAAAGCUCUUUUGUUAGAGAAGCGGUAUCUGAAGAAAAAGCAACGGCUAACUACGUGCCAGCCGCCGCGGUAAUAC
rnacentral:rRNA from 1 species